CUGAAUCGAAAAAUCUCUCCGUCACCACGUGAACACCUACACAACACGCAAACAUAAACGCGUGUGCGUGUGUUGUCACCCUCAAAGAAGGAGCGCCGUCCAACCGCGUUGCCGACUGCCCUCUGCAUCCAUGUCUCUUCGUCUGCUCGCCGGUGCACGCGUGCGCGCACCAGUGCUGAUGGCGCCGAGAACGGUGCGCCGCCGCGCGAGAAGCGUACGUCGCACUGGCCUCUCACAGCGAGUCCGCUCGCCUUGCCACACCAUCUUCCAUGCGCCGGCUACAUCAGCUGUCGCCAUGCACGUCUCGCCGCUCACGGCGCCGCGUCGGGCACAGAGCUCGCUGCAGAAGCUGCUGGAUGACCCCAAUGACCCGUAUCUUGCUGCCCUUCAGCAGUUCGACAUCCUUCGUAUCGCUGACAUUGUCGCGGAGGGCCCUGCCAAGUCUGGCGUGCCCGCCGCCUUCCUGCGACGAGCUGCCCUUCGCGUGGACACCGACGGCUUUGCCGCUGCUCGAGCCCAGCUAGCGUCACCCACACCCCUCACGCAGCGUCCCGCACAGUCGUCUGGGGAGGCGGUGCUGCAGUCACUGCACGCGGCUGGGAUAAUGCAUCGGAACAAGACCGAGGCUGUCGCUGCAGCCGAGCUCAAGUCGGCGCAGGCGGCUUACGAUGCCCUCCCGCAAGAGGAGAAGACUGCACUGCAGAUGGAGCGCGUUGUGUCGCACCUCUUCGACGGUCUCUGCGCGAUGAGCGCCGCCAUGCGGAUGCAGGCGGAGGAGGGCGCCGCCUCCGUCGAGGAGCGUGACGCGGCUUUCAGCAUCUACGAGCGUAUCUUGUCCGCCUACCGGGAUGGCGUCAUCACAGCAGAUAGCUGGAGUGCCGACUUUUUGCCGGAGCUUGAGGAGCUGCAAGUGAUUUGGCAGCACCUCAGCGAUCCUCGCGCGAUGCCGCUGGAGAAGUAAGUUUAAUACAUGUGUGUGUGUGCGCGCGUCUGCCUACGUGUGAGAGAGCUGGAUGUUGGAGAGUGCUAAGCACACACUCUCUGCGUGCAAGCGCCGAGCACCUUCUUUUCCUCCUCUUCUCCGGCGAGAUGGUAGUCGACUGUUGCAUUGUUUUCAUCUGGCAACGUUGCCAUGCCAACUCGCCCCUCCCGGACGACGGUGGCGCUGGCAUGCCAAUAUCGCGAUCAAGUCGUUCAGCGCCACCUACCACAGCACAGAGCAACACGUGGACAGCGA
rnacentral:misc_RNA from 1 species